rnacentral:rRNA from 1 species
CCUAGCCCUUUAGACGGGGACAACAUUCCGAAAGGGAUGCUAAUACCGGAUGUGACGCUCCUAUCGCAUGACGGGAGCGUGAAAGAUGGCCUCUACAUGUAAGCUAUCGCUAAAGGAUGGGCCUGCGUCUGAUUAGCUAGUUGGUAGUGUAACGGACAACCAAGGCGAUGAUCAGUAGCCGACCUGAGAGGGUGACCGGCCACAUUGGGACUGAGACACGGCCCAA